rnacentral:rRNA from 1 species
GUAGGUGGCAAGCGUUGUCCGGAAUUAUUGGGCGUAAAGCGCGCGCAGGCGGUUCUUUAAGUCUGAUGUGAAAGCCCACGGCUCAACCGUGGAGGGUCAUUGGAAACUGGAGAACUUGAGUACAGAAGAGGAAAGCGGAAUUCCACGUGUAGCGGUGAAAUGCGUAGAGAUGUGGAGGAACACCAGUGGCGAAGGCGGCUUUCUGGUCUGUAACUGACGCUGAGGCGCGAAAGCGUGGGGAGCAAACAGGAUUAGAUACCCUGGUAGUCCACGCCGUAAACGAUGAGUGCUAAGUGUUAGGGGGGUUUCCGCCCCCCUUAGUGCUGCAGCUAACGCAUUAAGCACUCCGCCUGGGAGUACGGCUGCAAGGCUG